rnacentral:lncRNA from 1 species
UACAAGCCCAUGUAAGAGCCUAUCAUUGAAUCUGUUAGACUGAAGUCGCCAUAGGUAAAUAUGCUACCUCAACAACAUCAAAAGGAAUUGUGGUAGCACUGUAUUUGACCCUGUCACCUUUUAAAUAGGAACUAUCAGCGAACUGCAGAAGUCAGCACUACCCAAAGGAAUUUCCUGCAGAUCACCAUGACGGUGAGUCAGCAUUCAGCAGUCAUGAGAGAUCUUGUUGGUGACAGAGGGGAGAAGAAUAGCAAGGUUAAGGUUAUUACACUGUAAAAGAGUCACUGAGGGGCAGCUAAGAAAAGGACCUCAUAGGAGGUGAGUUGUCUGGCUGAAAAGUGUUGAGUGUGAUGAAAAUUUGGAAUAGCUUCUACUGUAUGCGGUACAAAAAGAGUUAAAUGAGAUCCCACUAUAAUUUUUUUUCUUUGGUUGUUUUAACCAAAAGGGCAGUGACUGUAAUGGCUCUAAGGCAAAAGAUGAACCCAUACCACAGGGUCCAUCCAGUUGCUGGCUAUAGUAUGGUCUGGGUCAAUAGUUGUCCCUGUGUUUUUAGGUGAGUACCCCAAGUUAAUUCCCUUCCUUUUUAUAUAUAAAAAGGAAAAGGGGAAUCUAAUAAUUGGGAUGCCCAAGGGCAGGUGGGUACAUCAAACUUUCCUUAAGCCUUGAAAACUGUGUUGUCUGGUUCUUCUCAUAAAAUUGGGUUGAAGUUGUUAUUGUUUCAUAAAACACACAGAGGUUUGGCCACAUGAAAAAGUUUGGAAUCGAAUUUCAGCAGUUAUCAACUAGGCUAAGAAGAUCUAAUUAUUAGUACUUAGUUUUGGCUUUGGGAAACUUACGGCAUCAUGAAGUCUCUUUGGAUCUAGGUGUAGCCUUUGUUUUAAUAUCAGUUCUUAUAAAUACCAAACUUAGAUUUGGGUUCACUGUAAUUUUUCUUUGGUAAUCUGAUGUCCCUUUAAGGCUAAAAGCCUUAGCAAGUAGAUGCUGGCAAAUCAUCCACAUAUUGCAACAAAGUAGAACCUCUAGGGAACUUUUAUAUCAUCCAGGUCAGCCUUCCAGAAUUGUGGGACUUAAGAAGGACAGACUCUCAGGAAAACCCUGAAGCAUUACUAUCUGGGUAAAUUGUUUCCUCCUGUGUGAAGGAAAAAAGGUAUUUAUUGGCCAGCUUCAUCAAGUGGAAUACUAAAGAAUGCACUGCAUAAAUCAACUACAGUAAAAAAUCUGUUUCCUGUGGGGAUAUUAGUAAUAUAUGAGAAUUAGGAACAAUAGGGUGUCAAAGGAUAGCGAUGUUGUUUAUUGAUGGAAGAUCCUGGGCAAACCCCCACCCUUGGCCCUUAGGUUUUCUCAUUGGUCAAAUAAGAUUACAGUAUAAGGAAUCAUGAGGUCUUGACACUUGUAAUCUUCUAUUAUGGGCUUUAUGCCUUGAAAGUCUUCUUUACUUACAUAAAAUUGAUUCAUUCUGGGAAGAGUUUUUGAAGGGUCUAUUUGAAUCAGUGAGAAAUAUGCUUUAAAUUUUGCCAAUAUCAGUUGGAGAUUUUUUUGCCCAUAAAGAAGGUAGUUGCUGAUUCAAUAGGAGCAAGGCCACAGACUUUUUCAGCCAGUUCCCAGAGUAUUCCAGAGGCUGAACUGGAGCAGUUUCUGUAAAGCAACCCUUGCUUUUGAAGAAAUGGGAGAAUGUUUCGCUACUUUUCAAAAGGAACAACCCCUCCUCCUCUAAAAAGGGGCUAAAGACUAGCAAGCUUCUAUUGAAACAGUCUAUCUCAAAAUUAGAUCAAAAUACCAAACAAAUACUUACCUACAAAAUAAGGCCUUAACAGGAGAUGGGAUUAAGAUGGCCAAAUAGAAGGACUGGAGCUCAACUUCUCUCCUAAAAACAACAAAAUUUACAACCAAAUGCUGAGCAAUCUUCAACCAAAUGGACUGGAAACCUUCAAAAAGAUAUCCUACUCCAGAAGACAAAGAGGAGGCCACAUCAAGAGGUAGGAGGGGUGAUUAUGCAAUAUAAGCAACCCCAUACCUCCCCCCCACAGACUGGAAACUAACUCCUUCACAGAGACUCACCUACAGGAGUGAGAGUUCUGAGCCCCAUGUCAAAUCCUGACUCCUGGAGAUCUGGCACUGGGAGAAAGAGCCCCCAGAGGAUCUGGCAUUGAAGGCCAGUGGGGUGGUGUGCAGGAGCUCGACAGGACUGGGGGAAACAGAGACCCCAUUCUUAAAAGGCACACACAGGCUUUCAUAUGCACUGGGCCCCAGGGCAAAGCAAAGUCUCCAUAGGAAUCUGGGGCAAACCUGACUAUAGUUCUUGGAGAACCUCCAGGGAAAACAAGGAUGAAUGUGGCUUAUUGUCGGGGAAGGACAUUGGAAGCAAACCCUCAGAAUAUUCAGCAGCCGUGCCUUUCUCUGGAGGUGGCCAUUAUGGGAAAAUCUGGCCCCACCCAUCAGCAAUGAGAAGCCCCAAGCCAAACAACAAUCCAAGUAGGAUCACUGCCCCCCCCACCUCAGGCACACAGCUGCCUCUAAUCCCAUCCAGAGACAAAGCCCCACCCACCAGAGGGAUAGGAAUCAGCUCCACCUACCAGUGGGCAGGCAACUGUCCCUCUCAUCAGGAAGCCUACAGCAAGCCCCCUGUACCAACUUCAGCCACAAGGGGGCAGACACCAGAAGUAAGAGAGGCUAUCACUCUAUUAUCUGUAAAAAGAUCACCACACCAAAAACCUAUAAAAAUGAAAAGACAGAGAACUAUAAUUCAGAUAAGGGAGAAAGAAAAAACCCCAGAAAAUCAGCUAGGUGAUCAAGAGAUUCUCAGCCUCCAGGAAAAAGACAUUAGACUGUUGAUGCUGAAGAUGAUGCAAGGCAUUGGAAAUAAACUGGAGGCAAAGAUGAUAACUUACAGGAAACACUGAGAAAAGAUAUAAAGAUAUAAAACUUAAGCAAGAAGAGAUGCAAAAUACAAUACCUGAAAUAAAAAAAAUCACUAGAAGCAGCUAACACCAGAAUACAGGAUACGGAAGAACAAAUAAGUGAGGUGAAGGACAGAUGAGUGGAAAUUACGCAUGCGUAAGAGAAAAGAGAAAAAAGAUGGAAAUCAAAUGAAGAGAGUCUCAAAGAACUCUGGGACAACAUUAAAUGCAUGAACAUCUGUAUUAUACGGUGCCAGAGGAGAAGAGAGAGAGAAGGGGACAGAAAAAAUACUCAAACAGAUGAUAGCCAAAAAACUUCCUAACAUGGGAAAGGAACCACUCACUCAAAUCCAGGAAGUGCAAUGAGUACCAUAUAAAAUAAACCCAAGGAGGAACACCCUGAGACACAUAUUAAUCAAAUUGACCAAAAUUAAAGACAAAGAGAAAAUAUUGAAAGCAGCUAGGGAAAAGAAAUCACAUACAAGGGAACCCCAAUAAGGUUAUUGGCAGAUAUUUCAGCAGAAACUCUGAACGCCAGAAGGCAGUGGUAUGAUAUACUUAACAUGAUGAGAGAAAAAAAACCUCCAACCAAGAUUAUCUUAGCCAGCAAGGAUCUCAUUCAGAUUUGAAGGAGAAAUCAAAAGCUUCACAGAUAAGCAAAAGCUAAGACAGUUCAACAACACUAAACCAGCUUUAUGACAACUACUAAGGGAACUUCUCUAGGCAGAAGAGAAAAGGCCACAACCAGAAACAAUACCACAAAUGACAAGGCUCACCAGCAAAGGUAUAUAUGCAGUAAAGAUAUGAAAUCAUCUGCACAUAAUUAUGCCACUGAAAUCAGAAAUCAUGAGAAGAGGUGGGUAUGAAUGCAGGACACUGGAGAUGAACUUGCAAUUAAGAGCCCAACAACUUAAAACAAUCUCAUAUAUAUAUAGACUCAUAUCAAAACUUCAGAAUAACUGCAAACCAAAAAUAUACGAUUGAUACACAAACAAAUAAGAAAAAUCAACUCAAAUACAACACUAAAGAUAGUCAUCAAACCACAAGAGGAGAGAACAAGAGGAGAAGGGAAGAAAAAAGAGCAACAAAAACAAAUCCAAAGCAAUUAAUAAAAUGGCAAUAAGAAAAUACAUAUCAAUAAUUACUUUCAGUGUUAAUGGACUAAAUGCUCCAACCAAAAGACACAGACUGGCUGAAUGGAUACAAAAACAAGACCCAUACCUAUGGUAUCGAGAAGAGACCCACUUCACUCCUAGGUACACAUACAAAUUGAAAGUGAGAGGAUGGAUGAAAAUAUUCCAAGCAAAUGGGAAUCGAAAGCUGGAGUAGCAAUACUCAUAACAGACGAAAUAGACUUUAAAAUGAAGAAUAUUUUAAUGGACAAGGAAGGUCACUACUUAAUGAUCAAAGAUUCAAUUCAGGAAGAAGAUAUAACAAUUUUAAAUAUCUACACACCCAACACAGGUUCACCACAAUAUAUAAGGCAACUGCUAACAACUGUAAAAGGACAAAUUGACAAUAACACAAUAAUGGUGGGGGAUUUUAACAUCCCACUUAUAGGAAUGGACAGAUCAUACAGACAGAGAAGCAGUAAGGAAACACAAGCCUUUAAUGAAGCAUUAAACCAGUUAGACUUGAGAUAUUUAUAGGACAUUCCAUCCAAAAGCAACAGAGUACACAUUCUUCUCAAGUGCACAUGGAAGAUUCUCUAAGAUUGGUCACAUCCUGGGCUACGAAGCAAAUCUCAGUAUCUUUAAGAAAACUGAAAUCAUAUCAAGUAUAUUUUCCGACCACAAUGCUGUACAACUGGACAUCAGCAACAAGAAAAAAAACUGCAAAAACCACAAACACGUGGAGACUCAACAACAUGCUACUAAACAACCAAUGGAUCACUGAAGAAAUCAAAGAGGAAAUUAAAAAACACCUAGAAGCAAAUGACAACAAAAAUACAACACUCCAAAACCUAUGGAAUGCAGCAAAAGCUGUUCUAAGAGGAAAGUUGAUAGGGAUAUAAGCCCACAUCUGUAAACAAGAAAAAGCUCAAACAAGCUAACUUUACAUCUAAAGCAGCUAGAGAGAGAACAGACAAGACCUAAAGUCAGCAGAAAGAAAGAAAUCAUAAAGAUCACAGCAGAAAUCAAUGACAUACAAACAAAGAAAACCAUAGAAAAGAUCACUGAAACUAAAAGCUGGUUCUUUGAAAAGAUCAAUAAAAUUGAUAAACCCUUAGCCAGACUUAUCAAGAAAAAAAGAGAGGACUCAAAUCAAUAAAAUU